UACAGAGGGUGCAAGCGUUAAUCGGAAUUACUGGGCGUAAAGGGCGCGUAGGCGGUUUUUUAAGUCAGAUGUGAAAUCCCUGGGCUCAACCUAGGAAUUGCAUUUGAUACUGAAUAACUUGAGUAUGGUAGAGGGAAGUGGAAUUUCCAGUGUAGCGGUGAAAUGCGUAGAUAUUGGAAGGAACAUCAGUGGCGAAGGCGACUUCCUGGACCAUUACUGACACUGAGGCACGAAAGCGUGGGGAGCGAACAGG
rnacentral:rRNA from 1 species